rnacentral:rRNA from 1 species
UACGUAGGUGGCAAGCGUUGUCCGGAUUUAUUGGGUUUAAAGGGUGCGUAGGCGGUCAUAUAAGUCAGUGGUGAAAUACUUCAGCUCAACUGGAGAGGUGCCAUUGAUACUGUAUGACUUGAAUACUUUGGAGGUAAGCGGAAUAUGUUAUGUAGCGGUGAAAUGCUUAGAUAUGACAUAGAACACCAAUUGCGAAGGCAGCUUACUACACAGUUAUUGACACUGAGGCACGAAAGCGUGGGGAUCAAACAGG